AUUGAACGCUGGCGGCAGGCCUAACACAUGCAAGUCGAACGAGUGGCGGACGGGUGAGUAAUGUCUGGGAAACUGCCUGAUGGAGGGGGAUAACUACUGGAAACGGUAGCUAAUACCGCAUACCAUCAGAUGUGCCCAGAUGGGAUUGGCUAGUGGGUGGGGUAAAGGCUCACCAAGGCGACGAUCCCUAGCUGGUCUGAGAGGAUGACCAGCCACUCUGGAACUGAGACACGGUCCAGAGUCCUACGGGAGGCAGCAGUGGGAAAUGUUGCACAAUGGGCGCAACCCGGAUGCAGCCAAGCCGCGUGUAUGAAGAAGGCCUUCGGGUUGUAAAGUACUUUCAGCGGGGAGGCGUUACCCGCAGAAGAAGCACCGACUAAUUCCGUUCCAGCAGCCGCGGUAAGUC
rnacentral:rRNA from 1 species